rnacentral:rRNA from 1 species
UUAAAUUGAAGAGUUUGAUCAUGGCUCAGAUUGAACGCUGGCGGCAGGCCUAACACAUGCAAGUCGAACGGUAACAGGAAGAAGCUUGCUUCUUUGCUGACGAGUGGCGGACGGGUGAGUAAUGUCUGGGAAACUGCCUGAUGGAGGGGGAUAACUACUGGAAACGGUAGCUAAUACCGCAUAACGUCGCAAGACCAAAGAGGGGGACCUUCGGGCCUCUUGCCAUCGGAUGUGCCCAGAUGGGAUUAGCUUGUUGGUGGGGUAACGGCUCACCAAGGCGACGAUCCCUAGCUGGUCUGAGAGGAUGACCAGCCACACUGGAACUGAGACACGGUCCAGACUCCUACGGGAGGCAGCAGUGGGGAAUAUUGCACAAUGGGCGCAAGCCUGAUGCAGCCAUGCCGCGUGUAUGAAGAAGGCCUUCGGGUUGUAAAGUACUUUCAGCGGGGAGGAAGGGAGUAAAGUUAAUACCUUUGCUCAUUGACGUUACCCGCAGAAGAAGCACCGGCUAACUCCGUGCCAGCAGCCGCGGUAAUACGGAGGGUGCAAGCGUUAAUCGGAAUUACUGGGCGUAAAGCGCACGCAGGCGGUUUGUUAAGUCAGAUGUGAAAUCCCCGGGCUCAACCUGGGAACUGCAUCUGAUACUGGCAAGCUUGAGUCUCGUAGAGGGGGGUAGAAUUCCAGGUGUAGCGGUGAAAUGCGUAGAGAUCUGGAGGAAUACCGGUGGCGAAGGCGGCCCCCUGGACGAAGACUGACGCUCAGGUGCGAAAGCGUGGGGAGCAAACAGGAUUAGAUACCCUGGUAGUCCACGCCGUAAACGAUGUCGACUUGGAGGUUGUGCCCUUGAGGCGUAGCUUCCGGAGCUAACGCGUUAAGUCGACCGCCUGGGGAGUACGGCCGCAAGGUUAAAACUCAAAUGAAUUGACGGGGGCCCGCACAAGCGGUGGAGCAUGUGGUUUAAUUCGAUGCAACGCGAAGAACCUUACCUGGUCUUGACAUCCACAGAACUUUCCAGAGAUGGAUUGGUGCCUUCGGGAACUGUGAGACAGGUGCUGCAUGGCUGUCGUCAGCUCGUGUUGUGAAAUGUUGGGUUAAGUCCCGCAACGAGCGCAACCCUUAUCCUUUGUUGCCAGCGGUCCGGCCGGGAACUCAAAGGAGACUGCCAGUGAUAAACUGGAGGAAGGUGGGGAUGACGUCAAGUCAUCAUGGCCCUUACGACCAGGGCUACACACGUGCUACAAUGGCGCAUACAAAGAGAAGCGACCUCGCGAGAGCAAGCGGACCUCAUAAAGUGCGUCGUAGUCCGGAUUGGAGUCUGCAACUCGACUCCAUGAAGUCGGAAUCGCUAGUAAUCGUGGAUCAGAAUGCCACGGUGAAUACGUUCCCGGGCCUUGUACACACCGCCCGUCACACCAUGGGAGUGGGUUGCAAAAGAAGUAGGUAGCUUAACCUUCGGGAGGGCGCUUACCACUUUGUGAUUCAUGACUGGGGUGAAGUCGUAACAAGGUAACCGUAGGGGAACCUGCGGUUGGAUCACCUCCUUACCUUAAAGAAGC